UGUAACAUGUACGGCUCAAGUUCAAUAUUUAGUGGGGUCUCCAACCUUGUAACUCCCAACAAAUAAAAUCAUAUCACAUCCUUAUCCCUCCACUCCGUCCCGAGUGGCCACUCGGUCGGAAACAAGCAAGAGGCACGACCGGAACGUGCCGAUCCGGCUCAAGAACGUUCAACUCCAAACGAACGUGAGUCCGAACCAUCAGGAGGUACCAUUCGGGAGACCAGUCAUCGUCAGCCCAAUACUGCCCGAUCGUCUUGCCGAAAUGGUCCUAGGGCCCAGCUCCCCCAAGAGCGUCCUCAAGGGUGGGGACAGUAGGUUCAAGAAUCAAUAUCAUUCCUUUUAGGAAUAUCAAGUCAUUCAUUUCAAGAAUCAAG